rnacentral:lncRNA from 1 species
GGUUCUGAGUAUUCCUGGUGGCUGGCUAAAUUGUGUCCCUUGGAGCUGGAACAGGAGGAUUUAGGCUAGCACCAGACCCAACUUCCUGAGCACCCCACAAAACUCCAAAAUGAACACCCACAGGGCAUUCACUGGAGACCCAGUGGAUUCAGACAACAUUUGCCGAGAGCCCGAUGCAGGCUGGACUGCUCGCGUUAACCAUGUGAAACCUCAGAGGAUUAACACGUUAGGCCAACAGCCCGCAUCUCCCCUAUGGAGGACAAAAACCGAGCCUCAGAGAAGGGAGAAGACCAGGCCGGAGCUAGCACACAUGGAGCUGGACUGCAAACCCAGGCUCUGGCCGCUUGCGGGCUGGGAAACUCAGAAAAUCACCUGCUUUGAAGGGAGACAGAGCGUGGUGCCAAUCUCGCAUGCCAGAGAUCUUUCCAGAAUGCGCAGAGAGCACAGUGUGGAACAGGAUGUGUCCGUCUUCCCUUCCUCACUUGCCUUGGCUCCCAGCUCGUGGGCUCUCUCCUCUGCAUCCUGGCUCCGUGGCUGCUAUAGGAAGAACCAAGCUGGAGGAAGUCGGCGGCUCCAUUCCCAAAGGCACAGAGGCCACGGGCCCAGGAGGAUGGAGACCCCGGCCUGCUCCACUCGCUGCUGGGCCCUGGUGUUUGGAUCUGGCUGGCAGCAGCAGGGCCUCCGUGAGCAAGGGCGGCAGACCACAAAGACCACAUCUCAGGUGGAGCCAGCAGCAUCCAGACCCACCCGGCCGCACCUUGAAGGGGAGUGUUUUCCUGGACCAUUUGGAAGAGGUCCUCGUGGACGCCUGGUAUUUGGUUCACUACUGGCUCUCUGCAAUCGAGUUUCUGUCUUGUAUCUGUUUUGCCCAUCUUUUCCUAUGUUCUUUUUGCUAGUUUUUACUUAUUCUGCUUUAGUGUACAUUGUAAUAAACUGAUGGAUUCAGGACCUGUUACCUCACUCGGCUUCUCAUUGGGUUAAAGGAUAAAAGGCCUCACCCUUCUUGGAACAGCUAGAAUCCUUGAGGUUAAAACAGUCUCUGGGGAUUGGGGAAACCAGACUGUCCUGGCUGGGCCAGUGUGACAGAGGGUUGGGGGGGAGCAGCUGCCAUCUUGGAAGACAGAGAAGCACUGCCCGGAGCUCAGAUCCCAGUGUGACCCGGGAGGGAGCAGGCCUGGGAGGGCUCCAGGGGCCGAGGGGACUGACUCCUCCCUGAGCAGGCAGCCCUCACGCACUUCCCCUGGGCAGUCCCCGUCACCUCAGACUGCUCCUCCUUGCUCGUUGCUUGUCCGGUAAGACGGAGGUUAGGGUCCAGACGCUCAGGACUGAGAAGGACUCUUGCUCCUGCCUCUGAGGGCCCACUGGAAUAGCGCAAGGUGUCUCCUUCCCUUGUUCCUCUAUGCAGAAAUGAUACAGAGGAAUAUACAGCUUGCCGCUUGUUACCCCAAAAGUGGAUGAGGUUAGGCAUGACCCUGUGCCAUGCUUCGUUCACCUAAUGAUUUGUUCUGGAACUUUCAGCACACCAAGAGCACCCUCUGUUUCCCUCCACAGCAAAGCUGCAGUCUGCAGGGCAUGUGCCACAGUGCCCCCUUCAGGCUGCUUCCUAGCACGGGGCGGCCCCAGGGAGCCCCUCUGCCACAUCCCCCACCCCCCAUCCCCCCAGCCUUCCUGGUCCCCUGGUACCUACCUUGAGGCCUUCCAGGUACAGCCUCCCAGGCCAAGGCACUGAUGGCCCAGGGUUCUGGCUCAGAGACGCCCCUCCCCUUGGCCCAGUCAGUGUUCCCGGUGAAGACUCCGCUACUCAACCACCCUCUUUUCCAUGGGUGGGCUGGGAGGGCAGGGGUCCCAGGCUGCACCACUGUGAGGGUGAUCCGCCUUCUGGUUCCUGCCACACAAAAACCCACCAGUGACACUCAGAGGUUCCACCAUCUCAGAGA